rnacentral:lncRNA from 1 species
AGGCACAUGGAAGUGAGACAUCUUCCUUCACCAAGUUUCUUCCAUUUUUUGCAGAUGUCUUCUCUGGAGAAUACCAUCACUCUGAAAGGUGAAAAGGGAGAUCGAGGGAAGGAUGGUUUGAAAGGUGAAAGGGGUCCUCCAGGCCCAAAGGGAGAGGCUGGUCAACCAGGAAAAGGAGUGGAAAUGAAGGAUCUUGAGAGACUUUUUGAAGAAAACGGUAUCAAGCUGGCAUUGCUGAAGGACCUCUGCAAUGCAAUCAUGCAGGAGGGGCUGGAUGGACUGAUGCAGCACUUAGGCAGCUCCAAGACCUCCAGGAGAAAGCAGGCACUUCCACACGUACCCAGACAUGGCGGUCCAUCUGCUGAUGGUUCUGAAUCUGAGCGCCAACUCCUGGGGAACACUUCUGAGUCACUGGAGAAAACAUCUGAGGAGAGAAUGAGGGAGGGACACUCAAAAGGGACAAAUAUCUCUCUCAGCAGUAGCUUCUCUGUGCCCUCACCACAUCCAGAAGAUGGUCUGCAAGGAAACCUGCCUGUAGAGCUUCUCGAAACCUUGGAGGAAAGAGUGGAAGGACAACCACAGGAGGACAUCAGCCUUGAAAACAUGGAUUCAGAUGAUGGCUCUGCACUCCCAAGGCAUCCUAGAGCCAGGAGAUCAACCCAGCAUGACAUACACAUGGUUCACCCUCCCGGUGCCCCAGGAGCUCCAAAAUCCCCAUCUGGAUCCAUGGUAAGUGAAUACCUGAUACAAGGUUGUCUUCA